rnacentral:snRNA from 1 species
GUGCUCGCUUCAGCAGCACAUAUACUAAAAUUGGAACGAUACAGAAAAGAUUAGCGCAAGGAUGACACGCAUAUUCAUGAAGCAUUCCAUAAUAAA